rnacentral:rRNA from 1 species
GACGAACGCUGGCGGCGUGCUUAACACAUGCAAGUCGAACGGAAAGACCCUGCUUUUGUGGGGUGCUCGAUUGGCGAACGGGGGAGUAACACACGAGUAACCUGCCCUUGACUGUGUGGUAACUUCAGGAAACUGGGGCUAAUACCGGAGAGGAGCUCUUGCUGCACGGGGGGGGUUGGUAAGUGUCGGCGGUUGGGGAUGGUCUGGCUGCUUACCAGCUGGAUAGGGGGGUAGUGGCAUACCCAGGCUACGACGGGUAGCCGGCCUGAGAGGUGGGCCAGGCACCAUGGGCCUGCGAUACGGAGCAGUCUCCUACGGGAGGCAGCAGUCGGAAGUAUUGCACAGUGGGCGGACGCCUGAUACAGAGGCGCCGCGUGCGGGAUGCCGGCCUUCGAGUUGUAAACAGAUUUCGACUGUGACGAGGCGUGCGUGACGGUAAUGGGUAAAGAAGCACCGGCUAACUACGUG